rnacentral:rRNA from 1 species
GAAAAAAGAAGAUCUAUCUACGAGAAUUUAUUAGAAUUAAUUAUAGUAAUAUAACAAAUAUUAUUUCAUUUACUUUUAGCUAGGGGUGAAAUUCCUACAAUUCUUUCAUAUCUGGAUUUAUAUUAAAUAUACUUAGUAUAGGAAAAAUUCCCAGGUUUAAAAUGUUAAGAUUUUAAAUAUAUCUUCAAAUAUUAGUUCCUUUACCUAUAAGUGUUAACCCUCUUAUAAAAGUCUAAAUAAAACUUAAUUUAAGUUUGUUAAGGUUUCUAAUGUAAUAAUUAUUUUAAUUAUUUAAUCUUUAAAUAAUGUUUAGAUUAGUAAUUUUAUUAAAUUACAGUAAGAAACUCGGCAAAAAAAUUCUUCAACUGUUUAACAAAAACAUAGCUUAGCGAUAAAAAAUUUAUGUUAAGUUAAUUCUGCCCAGUGAUUUAUUUAACGGCCGCAGUACCUUGACUGUGCUAAGGUAGCAUAAUCAGUGGGCUUUUAAUUGGAGUCUAGUAUCAACGAAAAUUAGGAGAAUAACUGUCUCAUUAUAAUUGAUUUUAAGUUAUUUUAAAGGUGAAAAUCCCUUUACUUACCCACAUAGACAAGAAGACCCUUAGAAUUUUUACUAAAUAUAAUUUUAAUAUAGUAGUUUUUGUUGGGGCGACAAGGUAACAGAUAACUUACCUCUAACUAAGAUGACUGGUCGGAUGUUUUAAAGAAAGAUGAAAUUACCUAAGGGAUAACAGCAUAAUAUUAUUUUGAUUGUGACCUCGAUGUUGGAUUAGGUAAUAUAAUAGCUAGUAGUUAUUUUAUUAGGUUCUGUUCGAACUAUCUCACCUACAUGAUCUGAGUUCAGACCGGUG